rnacentral:rRNA from 1 species
UACGGGGGGGGGUAAGCGUUGUUCGGAAUUACUGGGCGUAAAGGGCUCGUAGGCGGCCAACUAAGUCAUACGUGAAAUCCCUCAGCUUAACUGGGGAACUGCGUGUGAUACUGGAUGGCUUGGAUGUGGGAGAGGGAUGCGGAAUUCCAGGCGUAGCGGUGAAAUGCGUAGAUAUCUGGAGGAACACCGGUGGCGAAGGCGGCAUCCUGGACCAUUAUUGACGCUGAGGAGCGAAAGCCAGGGGAGCAAACGGG